GCCCAGUAUCUUCCGAUUGGCGCAGUCUGAUCCAGCACGCCGCGUGAGGGAUGACGGCUCUAGGGUUGUAAACCUCUUUCGGAGGGAAGAAAAUGACGGUACCUCCGUGAAUUUGACCGUACCGGUCGAAUCCGGACCGGCUAAUUCUGUGC
rnacentral:rRNA from 1 species